AUUGAACGCUGGCGGCAUGCCUUACACAUGCAAGUCGAACGGCAGCACGGGAGCAAUCCUGGUGGCGAGUGGCGAACGGGUGAGUAAUAUAUCGGAACGUGCACAGUGGUGGGGGAUAACGCAGCGAAAGCUGUGCUAAUACCGCAUACGAUCUAUGGAUGAAAGCGGGGGACUCGCAAGGGCUUCGCGAGAUAGGAGUGGCUGAUAUCAGAUUAGGUAGUUGGUGGGGUAAAGGCCUACCAAGCCUGCGAUCUGUAGCUGGUCUGAGAGGACGACCAGCCACACUGGAACUGAGACACGGUCCAGACUCCUACGGGAGGCAGCAGUGGGGAAUUUUGGACAAUGGGCGCAAGCCUGAUCCAGCAAUGCCGCGUGCAGGAUGAAGGCCUUCGGGUUGUAAACUGCUUUUGUACGGAACGAAAAGGCUCUGGUGAAUACCUGGAGUUGAUGACGGUACCGUAAGAAUAAGCACCGGCUAACUACGUGCCAGCCGCCGCCGUAA
rnacentral:rRNA from 1 species